rnacentral:rRNA from 1 species
GGGUUGUGAGGUUAAGCGACUAAGCGUACACGGUGGAUGCCCUGGCAGUCAGAGGCGAUGAAGGGCGUGCUAAUCUGCGAUAAGCGCCGGUAAGGUGAUAUGAACCGUUAUAACCGGCGAUACCCGAAUGGGGAAACCCAGUGUGAUUCGUCACACUAUCAUUAACUGAAUCCAUAGGUUAAUGAGGCGAACCGGGGGAACUGAAACAUCUAAGUACCCCGAGGAAAAGAAAUCAACCGAGAUUCCCCCAGUAGCGGCGAGCGAACGGGGAGGAGCCCAGAGCCUGAAUCAGCAUGUGUGUUAGUGGAAGCGUCUGGAAAGGCGCGCGAUACAGGGUGACAGCCCCGUACACAAAAGCGCAUGUGCUGUGAGCUCGAUGAGUAGGGCGGGACACGUGGUAUCCUGUCUGAAUAUGGGGGGACCAUCCUCCAAGGCUAAAUACUCCUGACUGACCGAUAGUGAACCAGUACCGUGAGGGAAAGGCGAAAAGAACCCCGGCGAGGGGAGUGAAAAAGAACCUGAAACCGUGUACGUACAAGCAGUGGGAGCACAGGUUUACCUGUGUGACUGCGUACCUUUUGUAUAAUGGGUCAGCGACUUAUAUUCUGUAGCAAGGUUAACCGUAUAGGGGAGCCGCAGGGAAACCGAGUCUUAACCGGGCGUUAAGUUGCAGGGUAUAGACCCGAAACCCGGUGAUCUAGCCAUGGGCAGGUUGAAGGUUGGGUAACACUAACUGGAGGACCGAACCGACUAAUGUUGAAAAAUUAGCGGAUGACCUGUGGCUGGGGGUGAAAGGCCAAUCAAACCGGGAGAUAGCUGGUUCUCCCCGAAAGCUAUUUAGGUAGCGCCUCGUGAAUUCAUCUCCGGGGGUAGAGCACUGUUUCGGCUAGGGGGCCAUCCCGGCUUACCAACCCGAUGCAAACUGCGAAUACCGGAGAAUGUUAUCACGGGAGACACACGGCGGGUGCUAACGUCCGUCGUGAAGAGGGAAACAACCCAGACCGCCAGCUAAGGUCCCAAAGUCAUGGUUAAGUGGGAAACGAUGUGGGAAGGCCCAGACAGCCAGGAUGUUGGCUUAGAAGCAGCCAUCAUUUAAAGAAAGCGUAAUAGCUCACUGGUCGAGUCGGCCUGCGCGGAAGAUGUAACGGGGCUAAACCAUGCACCGAAGCUGCGGCAGCGACACUGUGUGUUGUUGGGUAGGGGAGCGUUCUGUAAGCCUGUGAAGGUGUGUCGUGAGGC